CUCACAUUCGUGUGGCUGUUUCUUGGGUU
rnacentral:piRNA from 1 species